rnacentral:lncRNA from 1 species
GUAGGCCUAGGUUCCAAGAGCAUGUAAGAUGACAAACUUUUUGAACACAUAAUAUAAAUUGAUCUAAAAUACAGUAAAAAAAUUGAGAUAAGUAAAUAUAUAUGACAAUUCAAAACUUUUUUGUAAUAAAUUCUGUGAAACCACAAUAUUAAGAAGGUGCUGAAACUAUGGUGGCAAGAUCAUUCCAUCUAGAAUAAGAACCAUCCUAUUCCCAAGUCAUCAUCUCUUACUCUCUGUUUAGUAUGAAGAAUGGAUGGAUGAAAGACGAAUGAUGGAUGAGAGAGAAGAUAAAUGAACCUUCCAUCCAUCUCUUUUAUAUAUUUGGUGAAACAUGAAAGAAUGAAUGGAAAUGGUUCUCUUCUUUAUUUGGUAUAAGCAAAAUAAAAGA